GAUGAACGCUGGCGGCGUGCCUAAUACAUGCAAGUCGAGCGAACGGACGAGAAGCUUGCUUCACUGAUGUUAGCGGCGGACGGGUGAGUAACACGUGGAUAACCUACCUAUAAGACUGGGAUAACUUCGGGAAACCGGAGCUAAUACCGGAUGAUAUUUUGAACCGCAUGGUUCAAAAGUGAAAGACGGUCUUGCUGUCACUUAAAGAUGGAUCCGCGCUGCAUUAGCUAGUUGGUAAGGUAACGGCUUACCAAGGCAACGAUGCAUAGCCGACCUGAGAGGUGGAUCGGCCACACUGGAACUGAGACACGGUCCAGACUCCUACGGGAGGCAGCAGUAGGGAAUCUUCCGCAAUGGGCGAAAGCCUGACGGAGCAACGCCGCGUGAGUGAUGAAGGUCUUCGGAUCUUAAAACUCUGUUAUUAGGGAAGAACAUAUGUGUAAGUAACUGUGCACAUCUUGACGGUACCUAAUCAGAAAGCCACGGCUAACUACGUG
rnacentral:rRNA from 1 species